rnacentral:rRNA from 1 species
UACGUAGGGAGCUAGCGUUGUCCGGAAUCAUUGGGCGUAAAGCGCGCGUAGGCGGCCCGGUAAGUCCGCUGUGAAAGUCAAAGGCUCAACCUUUGAAUGUCAGCGGAUACUGCCGGGCUAGAGUCCGGAAGAGGCGAGUGGAACUCCUGGUGUAGCGGUGGAAUGCGCAGAUAUCAGGAAGAACACCAACGGCGAAGGCAGCUCGCUGGGACGGAACUGACGCUAAGGCGCGAAAGCGUGGGGAGCGAACAGGA